GGGGGGGGGGGGGGGGGGGGGGGGGGGGGGGGGGGGGGGGGGAGGGGGGGGGCGGGCGGGGGGCGCGGGGGGGGAACGGGGGAGUGACGCGGGGGUGGGCGGCCCUGCACUUCGGGGUAAGCCGGGGCAACGGGGUCUAAUACCGGGGAGGAGCCAUUGUUAGUGGGAUGGUUGGAAGGUGUUUUCGGUGUAGGAUGAGCUCGCGGCCCAUCAGCUUGUUGGUGGGGUAAUGGCCUACCAAGGCGGCGACGGGUAGCCGGCCUGAGAGGGUGGACGGCCACAUUGGGACUGAGAUACGGCCCAGACUCCUACGGGAGGCAGCAGUGGGGAAUAUUGCACAAUGGGCGCAAGCCUGAUGCAGCGACGCCGCGUGGGGGAUGACGGCCUUCGGGUUGUAAACUCCUUUCGCUAGGGACGAAGCUUUUUGUGACGGUACCUAGAGAAGAAGCACCGGCUAACUACGUG
rnacentral:rRNA from 1 species